GACGAACGCUGGCGGCGUGCUUAACACAUGCAAGUCGAACGGAAAGGCCCUGCUUUUGUGGGGUGCUCGAGUGGCGAACGGGUGAGUAACACGUGAGUAACCUGCCCUUGACUUUGGGAUAACUUCAGGAAACUGGGGCUAAUACCGGAUAGGAGCUCCUGCUGCAUGGUGGGGGUUGGAAAGUUUCGGCGGUUGGGGAUGGACUCGCGGCUUAUCAGCUUGUUGGUGGGGUGGUGGCUUACCAAGGCUUUGACGGGUAGCCGGCCUGAGAGGGUGACCGGCCACAUUGGGACUGAGAUACGGCCCAGACUCCUACGGGAGGCAGCAGUGGGGAAUAUUGCACAAUGGGCGGAAGCCUGGUGCAGCAACGCCGCGUGCGGGAUGACGGCCUUCGGGUUGUAAACCGCUUUCGCCUGUGACGAAGCGUGAGUGACGGUAAUGGGUAAAGAAGCACCGGCUAACUACGUG
rnacentral:rRNA from 1 species